AACGUAGGAGGCGAGCGUUAUCCGGAGUUACUGGGCGUAAAGCGCGUGUAGGUGGUUGGAUACGUCUGCUGUGAAAUGUCCCGGCUUAACCGGGAGGGUGCGGCAGAUACGGUCUGACUUGAGGGUGACAGAGGAGCGUAGAAUUCCGGGUGUAGUGGUGAAAUGCGCAGAUAUCAGGAGGAACACCAACGGCGAAGGCAGCUCUCUGGGACGUUACUGACGCUGAGACGCGAAAGCGUGGGGAUCAAACAGG
rnacentral:rRNA from 1 species